rnacentral:rRNA from 1 species
AGUGAACGCUGGCGGUAGGCCUAACACAUGCAAGUCGAACGGCAGCACAGUAAGAGCUUGCUCUUACGGGUGGCGAGUGGCGGACGGGUGAGGAAUACAUCGGAAUCUACUUUUUCGUGGGGGAUAACGUAGGGAAACUUACGCUAAUACCGCAUACGACCUACGGGUGAAAGCAGGGGAUCUUCGGACCUUGCGCGAUUGAAUGAGCCGAUGUCGGAUUAGCUAGUUGGCGGGGUAAAGGCCCACCAAGGCGACGAUCCGUAGCUGGUCUGAGAGGAUGAUCAGCCAGACUGGAACUGAGACACGGUCCAGACGCCUACGGGAGGCAGCAGUGGGGAAUAUUGGACAAUGGGCGCAAGCCUGAUCCAGCCAUACCGCGUGGGUGAAGAAGGCCUUCGGGUUGUAAAGCCCUUUUGUUGGGAAAGAAAAGCAGCAGGUUAAUACCCCGCUGUUCUGACGGUACCCAAAGAAUAAGCACCGGCUAACUUCGUG